rnacentral:rRNA from 1 species
AACUACGUGCCAGCAGCCGCGGUAAUACGUAGGGUGCAAGCGUUGUCCGGAAUUAUUGGGCGUAAAAAGCUCGUAGGCGGUUUGUCGCGUCUGCUGUGAAAAUCCAAGGCUCAACCUUGGACCUGCAGUGGGUACGGGCAAGCUAGAGUGCGGUAGGGGAGAAGGGAAUUCCUGGUGUAGCGGUGGAAUGCGCAGAUAUCAGGAGGAACACCGAUGGCGAAGGCACUUCUCUGGGCCGUAACUGACGCUGAGGAGCGAAAGCGUGGGGAGCGAACAGGAUUAGAUACCCUGGUAGUCCACGCCGUAAACGGUGGGUGCUAGUUGUGGGUCACAUUCCACGUGAUCCGUGACGCAGCUAACGCAUUAAGCACCCCGCCUGGGGAGUACGGUCGCAAGACUAAAACUCAAAGGAAUUGACGGGGGCCCGCACAAGCGGCGGAGCAUGCGGAUUAAUUCGAUGCAACGCGAAGAACCUUACCAAGGCUUGACAUAUAGAGGAAAAGCGUAGAAAUACGCUCCCCGCAAGGUCUCUAUACAGGUGGUGCAUGGUUGUCGUCAGCUCGUGUCGUGAGAUGUUGGGUUAAGUCCCGCAACGAGCGCAACCCUCGUCCUAUGUUGCCAGCACGUAAUGGUGGGAACUCAUGGGAGACUGCCGGGGUCAACUCGGAGGAAGGUGGGGAUGACGUCAAAUCAUCAUGCCCCUUAUGUCUUGGGCUUCACGCAUGCUACAAUGGCCGGUACAGAGGGCUGCAAUACCGUAAGGUGGAGCGAAUCCCAAAAAGCCGGUCUCAGUUCGGAUUGAGGUCUGCAACUCGACCUCAUGAAGUCGGAGUCGCUAGUAAUCGCAGAUCAGCAACGCUGCGGUGAAUACGUUCCCGGGCCUUGUACACACCGCCCGUCAAGUCACGAAAGUCGGUAACACCCGAAGCCGGUGGCCUAACCGUAAGGAAGGAGCCGUCGAAGGUGGGAUCGGUGAUUGGGACU